AGUGAACGCUGGCGGUAGGCCUAACACAUGCAAGUCGAACGGCAGCACAGUAAGAGCUUGCUCUUACGGGUGGCGAGUGGCGGACGGGUGAGGAAUACAUCGGAAUCUACUUUUUCGUGGGGGAUAACGUAGGGAAACUUACGCUAAUACCGCAUACGACCUACGGGUGAAAGCAGGGGAUCUUCGGACCUUGCGCGAUUGAAUGAGCCGAUGUCGGAUUAGCUAGUUGGCGGGGUAAAGGCCCACCAAGGCGACGAUCCGUAGCUGGUCUGAGAGGAUGAUCAGCCACACGGGAACUGAGACACGGUCCAGACUCCUACGGGAGGCAGCAGUGGGGAAUAUUGGACAAUGGGCGCAAGCCUGAUCCAGCCAUACCGCGUGGGUGAAGAAGGCGUUCGGGUUGUAAAGCCCUUUUGUUGGGAAAGAAAAGCAGCAGGUUAAUACCCCGCUGUUCUGACGGUACCCAAAGAAUAAGCACCGGCUAACUUCGUG
rnacentral:rRNA from 1 species